AUGUACCCACGUACACUCCGGUUCCUCCGCGCCGCCCGCACCCACCUGACGAUCGCUCGCUACGCUUGUUGGCC
rnacentral:sRNA from 1 species